AGGGUGUAUGCGUGUACCGCUGAAUAUGCCAACAGAAACACCAAUUUUUGUGAAUGCUAUGCAAUAUGAAGGCAUUCUUCAUCGACGCUGUGCCCGUGCCAAAGCAGAGAGGGGAAAUAGGCUGGCAAAAGCCAGAUAGCCAUAUCUCCAUGAGUCACGCCAUGUGCAUGCACUACGGCACGCAAGAGGCAAUGGUGGACGUUUCCUCAACAUGAAGAAAGAGUCCAACGUGAAGGAUGCUGGUGGAGAUGGCAAGGCAAUGAUCAGUAACCCGCUUAUGCGCGUGGUGGUGUCUCCAAGUUCAGGAUCCAGCAGUCAGACGUGGGCAACCCAAGCAGCAUCUCCAGUCUAUUGGGAUCAUGUGAUGAGUGGAACACCAUUGCCCCCAAAAUCUGGUAGUACUAGCUACCAGCAUCAAACUCGUUCCGCCUUAGCAGGUUUCAGUGUUGUUUUCUGAAUAAAGCCUGAAACUUGGGAGUCCUCUGAAGUUUCGGAGGUACUGGAAGUGGAGUAUAUUUGGAGUCUGAUUGUAUGUCAAGACUAUGGCUUUGUUAGUGAUGAUAUGUGGUGUGCUUGAAGCUUGUGCGGACUUGGUUUGUAAUAUGUGGUGUGUUAAAAGCUUUAAUUCGGUAGUGUAAUCAUGUGUUGACUACUGA